UACGUAGGGGGCAAGCGUUGUUCGGAAUUAUUGGGCGUAAAGGGCGCGUAGGCGGUUUGACAAGUCUGAUGUGAAAUCUCUGGGCUCAACCCAGAGUCUGCAUUAGAAACUGUCGAGCUAGAGUCCGGAAGGGGCGAAGUGGAAUUCCUGGUGUAGCGGUGAAAUGCGCAGAGUAUCAGGAGGAACACCGAUGGCGAAGGCAGCUCGCUGGGACGGUACUGACGCUGAGACGCGAAAGCGUGGGGAGCAAACAGG
rnacentral:rRNA from 1 species